rnacentral:rRNA from 1 species
UACAGAGGUCCCGAGCGUUGUUCGGAUUCACUGGGCGUAAAGGGCGCGUAGGCGGCUUAACAAGUCACUUGUGAAAUCUCCGGGCUUAACUCGGAACGGCCAAGUGAAACUGUCAAGCUAGAGUGCAGAAGGGGCAAUCGGAAUUCUUGGUGUAGCGGUGAAAUGCGUAGAUAUCAAGAGGAACACCUGAGGUGAAGACGGGUUGCUGGGCUGACACUGACGCUGAGGCGCGAAAGCCAGGGGAGCAAACGGG